GACGAACGCUGGCGGCGUGCUUAACACAUGCAAGUCGAACGGAAAGGCCCUGCUUGCAGGGUACUCGAGUGGCGAACGGGUGAGUAACACGUGGGUGAUCUGCCCUGCACUUCGGGAUAAGCUUGGGAAACUGGGUCUAAUACCGGAUAGGAGCCAUCCUUAGUGUGGUGGUUGGAAAGUUUUUUCGGUGUAGGAUGAGCUCGCGGCCUAUCAGCUUGUUGGUGGGGUAAUGGCCUACCAAGGCGGCGACGGGUAGCCGGCCUGAGAGGGUGUACGGCCACAUUGGGACUGAGAUACGGCCCAGACUCGUGCGGGAGGCAGCAGUGGGGAAUAUUGCACAAUGGGCGCAAGCCUGAUGCAGCGACGCCGCGUGGGGGAUGAAGGCCUUCGGGUUGUAAACUCCUUUCGCUAGGGACGAAGCUUUGUUGUGACGGUACCUAGAUAAGAAGCACCGGCUAACUACGUG
rnacentral:rRNA from 1 species